GCUCUCCCUGUUCUGCAUGGUUACACCUGCCAUAACAGGUGUGACUUUCAUAAAGAGGAGAGAGAGAAAGGGUGCCCUCAGGACCUCGGGCAGGCCUCCGUGGCCUGUCUCUUCCAGGGGGCACAACAGGC
rnacentral:snoRNA from 1 species